CACAGGCAGUUUACAUGCCAGGAAUGGGAAUUCGGUGAACAACAGCUAUUUCCCCCUUAAACUGCAGCAUGGUAUGUCUUCAAGCGUGUAGCACUCUACAAGUCAUUUCUGUAUGAUCAACGACACUCAUGACGCUGCAGCCGGUGAAAAUCUGAAAUCGACUUUCAAACCAACAGGAUUAACUUUUCAUGGCAUGUCUUUAGUGCCGGAAUAAACUAGCCGAAACAAGAUUCAAUUGGGAGAAAAACGUUCAAGAAAAUAAAACGGACACGGAGAGGUUCUUCGCAGACGUUGGCCAGCCCUUGCGAUCGUCAGUUGGAUGCAAUAAGCCUCCCUUCAUCGUAUUCCUAGGCUUAAUAUUGCACCAUCCAGUCACUUUGCCAUCCGCUCCAAUCCGAAAUGAAUCGUCUUUUCUUGUGCUCCAUCGUCUGUUUCGCGUUCUUCAUCUCGACUGGUGAUGCUAUUAAAUGCUACGUCUGCAAUUCCGCGAUAGAUAAAACAGGAUGCUCCAACACGCAGUCACUUAAUCCGAAUUUCUUGAAAGACUGCAGUGAACUAGCUGGAGGAGCUAAAUACACGGGCUGCCGAAAAAUCGACCAAGAUGCCCCGAAUCAUGAUGGAGUCGAGUCCAACAUUAGGGUAAUCCGCGAAUGCGGCCAAGACGAUCCUGUAACCAACACCUGCUACCAGAAGGCCGGCUUGGGUGGUCGCCAAUAUGUCUGCUCUUGUGAUCAAGACGGUUGCAACUCUGGAGCUGAUCUUCAAAUGGUUUUCGCCACCAUGGUGUCGUUUGCCACGGUAGCCUUGCUAGGUCCAAAAUUCUUGCUCUAAGAGAUUUUAAUUAAAUUCAGAACGUUAAUAACAUAGUGCUGACACACAUGAGACACACACUGUAACAC